rnacentral:rRNA from 1 species
UGGGGAAUUUUGGACAAUGGGCGAAAGCCUGAUCCCAGCAAUGCCGCGUGUGUGAAGAAGGCCUUCGGGUUGUAAAGCACUUUUUGUCCGGAAAGAAAUCCUUGGCUCUAAUACAGUCGGGGGGAUGACGGUACCGGAAGAAUAAGCACCGGCUAACUACGUGCCAGCAGCCGCGGUAAUACGUAGGGUGCAAGCGUUAAUCGGAAUUACUGGGCGUAAAGCGUGCGCAGGCGGUUUGCUAAGACCGAUGUGAAAUCCCCGGGCUCAACCUGGGAACUGCAUUGGUGACUGGCAGGCUAGAGUAUGGCAGAGGGGGGUAGAAUUCCACGUGUAGCAGUGAAAUGCGUAGAGAUGUGGAGGAAUACCGAUGGCGAAGGCAGCCCCCCUGGGCCAAUACUGACGCUCAUGCACGAAAGCGUGGGGAGCAAACAGGAUUAGAUACCCUGGUAGUCCCACGCCCCUAAACGAUGUCAACUAGUUGUUGGGGGAUUCAUUUUCCUUAGUAACGUAGCUAACGCGUGAAGUUGACCGCCUGGGGGAGUA